GAGGGUGUAGCUCAAUGGUAGAGUGCGUGCUUAACAUGUACGAGGUCCUGGGUUCAAUCCUCAGUACUUCA
rnacentral:tRNA from 1 species